GUAGUCCUAGCCGUAAACGGUGCACGUUUGCUGUAAAAGGAAUCGACCCCUUUUGUGGCGUAGCUAACGCGAUAAACGUGCCGCCUGGGAAGUACGGUCGCAAGAUUAAAACUCAAAGAAAUUGACGGGGGCCUGCACAAGCGGUGGAGUAUGUGGCUCAAUUCGAUGCAACGCGAAGAACCUUACCUGGCCUUGACAUGUACGUAGUAGAAGGGUGAAAGCCUGACGAGGUAGCAAUACCAGCGUACACAGGUGCUGCAUGGCUGUCGUCAGCUCGUGUCGUGAGAUGUUGGGUUAAG
rnacentral:rRNA from 1 species